rnacentral:misc_RNA from 1 species
GACCACGUCCUGCUUUUUACUCUUCCAGGAUAUUAGAUUCCCUCUAAUCAUGAUACAAUAUCCUGAAUUAUAUCGCCUAUUUGCAGGAAAACCUGCCCAAUCCGCAUCAGAUUACCCAACAACUUGUGAAAGGCCUUUAUCUUUAUACAAUAAAACUUGUCCAGGAGAUCCUUUUGAUACACCAGAGAAUGCAAAUUACAGCAUUCUAAUAAUCACUACAUGGAGCCUGGAGCCAGGAUCUUCUAA